rnacentral:misc_RNA from 1 species
UCUGCCUUAUAGGCCAGCGGUCUCUUUAGAGUGCCCAACUUAAUGAUGGCAACUAAAGACGAGGGUUGCGCUCGUUGCGGGACUUAACCCAACAUCUCACAACACGAGCUGACGACAGCCAUGCAGCACCUGUCACCGCGUCUCCGAAGAGAACCCCAAGUUUCCCUGGGUAGCACGGGAUUUCAAGUCCAGGUAAGGUUUUUCGCGUAGCAUCGAAUUAAACCACAUGCUCCACCGCUUGUGCGGGCCCCCGUCAAUUCCUUUGAGUUUUAAUCUUGCGACCGUAAUUCCCAGGCGGAAUACUUAAUGCGUUAGCUACGUCACCGAAGCAAUUAGGAACUCCGACGACUAGUAUUCAUCGUUUAGGGCGUGGACUAC